UGGGUUAUGCGUGACGACAUGCAUAAGUUAAUUAAUUUCGAAGAUCCGAACCGAAUAGUUGCCGCCGGAGGAGGAGAGACCACAAUAAACUUGACCAACACACUACUUCCACCGCAUGCCGUCUGUCUGUCUGUCUGUCUGAGUCACGGGUGAGGGCUUGCAGUGGAUUAUAAUUGUUUACGAGCAUGCAUGCUUGAGACCCCUGUUUGCUUUAGAGCUCAGAAUGAAUGAAGCCUUAUGUCUACAUUAAUGAUGAUGAUGAUGAUGAUGAACUGUCACACAACCUUUACUGUCAAAUAGGAAAUACACCAUACUCAAUUUCCUCCCAAAGAACUUAAUGAUGAUGGGAACAGUUCAGAUUCAAGCCCGAGAAGAUGUUCAUGUGGGAAAUAUUGUAUGGCUUCGUGAGAAGGAUGAAGUUCCAUGUUACCUGGUUCUGCUCGGUACUUCAGAUCCACAAGGUCUUAAUUUGCUAUAUAGAGACGUCUUCCUUGGAUGGUGAAACUGAUCUUAAGACGACUUGCAUGGGGAUGGACUUUGUACUGCUGCACAAAAUGAAGGC